GGCUGGAGUGCUAUCUGGCUUCGGUCGGUAGCAUUCUCAGUCAUCCGUAUGAGAAACUAGCUCGCUCUUCACCGGGCGGCUAGUGUAUCAUACAAUUUACUUUGAAAAAAUUAGAGUGUUUCAGGCAGGCAAUUGCUGGGAUACACAAGCAUGGAAUAAUGGAAUAGGACUUUGACCUAUUUUAUUGGUAUAUUAGGUCGAAGUA
rnacentral:rRNA from 1 species